rnacentral:rRNA from 1 species
GAUGAACGCUGGCGGCGUGCCUAACACAUGCAAGUCGAGCGGAGAAUUGUUGCUUGCCACCCUUCUUAGCGGCGGACGGGUGAGUAACACGUGGGUAACCUGCCCUAAACAAAGGGAUAACAAUGAGAAAUCAUUGCUAAUACCGUAUAAGCUUACACUAUCGCAUGAUAGAGUAAGAAAAGAUUUAUCGGUUUAGGAGGGGCCCGCGUCUGAUUAGCUAGUUGGAGAGGUAACGGCUCACCAAGGCGACGAUCAGUAGCCGACCUGAGAGGGUGAUCGGCCACAGUGGGACUGAGGCACGGCACAAACUCCUACGGGAGGCAGCAGGGGGGAAUAUUGCACAAUGGAGGAAACUCUGAUGCAGCAACGCCGCGUGAAGGAAGAAGGUUUUCGGAGCGUAAACUUCUAUCUACAGGGAAGAAAAAAAUGACGGUACCUGAGGAAGAAGCCCCGGCUAACUACGUG